rfam:Ovis aries breed Texel chromosome 2, whole genome shotgun sequence.
GAGGAUUUAGCUUAACUAAAGUGUUUGAUUUGCAUUCAAUUGAUGUAGGAUAGAGCUUUACAAGUCUUA